rnacentral:rRNA from 1 species
GACGAACCGUGCGAACGUUGUUCGGAAUCACUGGGCUUAAAGGGCGUGUAGGCGGUCAGGUAAGUGGGAUGUGAAAUGCCCCGGCUCACCCGGGGACCGGCAUCCCAUACUGCUUGGCUUGAGUACGGGAGAGGAUGUGGGAAUUCCUGGUGUAGCGGUGAAAUGCGUAGAUAUCAGGAGGAACACCGGUGGCGAAGGCGCACAUCUGGCCCGAUACUGACGCUGAGGCGCGAAAGCUAGGGGAGCAAACGGG